AACUGUUCUGACAACAGAGGCAGCGACUCGGUCAGAAGCAGGCAUCAAGGAGGGAUAGGAGACCCUAGAGAAAGUGGCUGGGGCAAAAAUAAUGAGUUUGUCUGUAUAGAGAAGGUAAUACUCUAGCUUAAGAUGGACUAAUGUCUGUGUAUUGACUCUCAGCUACUUCCUAGAACAAACACGCAACCGAAGAAGGCAGUGAAUUUCAUCAGCUCCAUGAGUCCAAAUCCAUACCUGCCAAUUCAAGUGCCAUCAGGACCUUGCAUUUCUGACCAUACGCAGUGUAUUCCCAAGCAUGGCCACUGCAUUGUAAAACAGCUUGCAUGCACAACCACAUACCAGAACAGGAGAACAAUACCUCCUGUUGAAUUCUUCCAGAACAGAGCCAGAGCAAGAAAAAAAAAAAUCUUGCUGUCAGUAUCUUACAGAAUCAUAAAAUUUUUGGAUGCAAGGAACCUCUGGAUGUCUCCAGCCCAGCUUCUCCUGGAGCAGGACUGUUGCAAAGGACUCCAUAGAUGGAAUUUCCACCAUGUCUCUGGUUCACCUGUUCCAGUGCUGCACUGACUUGGUGAAUACAUUUUUUUCUAAUAUAUAGUCCGAAUCUCAAUUGUGUCUGCUGUGCAGCUGGCCACAUCUGAAACAGAAACAGCAGCAACUGCUUCUGCUCAAAGAAGCAAUCUCCCUGCUUGUGUAGGGCACAGUAAACACGUCUUGGUUGGAAGCUUCAUUUUGUCUUCAGUUCAAGGACGGCUUUCCCUCUAUGUUGUACACAGCAUCUGAUCUACCCUGCAGCACUUGAAACGGAACCACUGCCCGCAUAGUACCUAGCAAUUCACUGCUCAGACUCUGCUGCCUCCCUACUGGGCUCCUAUCUUCAUUCUGUGGAUCCUUACUACACCCCACUCUCCCCCACCUCUCCCAGCCCUUCCUCCUUCUCCCCUCCCAAAAUGGUGCUCAGGUCAGGGACAAAGAACAGCAUGUUGCUCAUAGGAGGAGAGGUCUGAGCAGUACGUAUUCAUUCCCCUUCCCCCUGAUCUUGGUCAGGGAUGAAUUAAGAUUACUUAAUUACAUCAGCUUACUGUAGGGAGACCAGAGAGAUCUGCCUGACCCCAAAGCAGACUUGGCUGGCUGAUCUACCCCAGAAGCACCCAAACAGGGCAGGUGAAUGAGGGUUUGGUGGUACACCAUGAGUCCAAGGUCCUUCCGUCUGAGCCGGUCACCACUUCACCUCUGACCGCACAGUAAGCGGCAGCAGUAAUGCUGCACCUUCUGCUACAGCUGCUGGCACUACUGCCGUGCUCGUGGGCAUGAAAUCUCUGCAGCAAGCACUGAGAUCCACGUCGGUGAGAACUGCGCUUCUGCCAGCACAGCAAGCGGUACGGCGUGUGACGGCAGCCAGGCUCUGGAGAGGGAGGCUGCUCCCAUCCAGGCUAGAGGCUCCGGAGCAACCCGCUCCGGUAGUCGAGGCUGGGCUGGGGAUGGCAGACUCCAGUCUGCCCGUGCCAUCCCGGGCUGCCCCUCUCCUCGGGACCCUCGGCAGAGCGGGUGCUGCGGCCGUGCUGCUGGUCCGCAGAGCCCCGGGGUGGAUGCCCCAGGGGAGGGUGCCAGCGCCAGGCUCCACGCCAGAGGAAGAGAAUCUAGGUCACAGAUCCUCUUUGGGAACAAGUACAUCUGAUGCUGCCAAGGGAAACGAACUGGCUUGAAAGCAACGGGAGACCGGGGAGAAAUAACUCGGUGGUUGAAGCAAGGAUACCACGGGAAAGCUUACGGUUCUGUGGCGGGAGAGGUGUUUCCAGGAAGGAAGAAGAGGAGCAGGAGGAAGAUGUUUGGUUUGCUGGGCAGCCCGUCCUUCCCCAUGGUGCGGAGCAGGUCGUGGUAUUAUUGUAUUGAAAUGGAGCAAGACACCAGAUCAGUAAGAAACGGACACCAUGGGAGCACUUCUACUUUGCCUGAAUGUAUCAUUAUGACUAUUUUUUUAUUUUCUGGAGCAUUUAAUUCUCCACAAUAUUUCCUUCUCGGGUUCCUUUCCACCAUAAAUAAAAUACAUUAUUUUGAGUUGGACCAACUGACACAAAAGAUGCAAUUAAUAAGUUAAUACAGGCCAUCAUAAAUAUUGAUAAAUUCCAGUCACAGCAAACCUUAUUCUGCAAAGUUUCUUAUAAGCCAUACAGUCUUCACUGCAUUGGCUAGCAAAGAUGACAGAAAAAUGUGAAGUGUCCUACACAUCCCAGUUUAUGACCACUAUAGAAAACAUAUUUCCCCAUGAAAACAAAGUAAGAUAGCGAGCCAUGCAAUUCUAAUCACUUUAACCCAGUUCUGGUAUAUUUUCCUCUGAGUUCCUUUCAGUUUGUACUGUUCAGCUUUGUAGAUGACUACCAAUUGUCCAGUAACAGAGUGGCUCACUGGUCACUGCAAUUGCAGGAAGAAAAGCUGUCUGUGGGUGGGUGUAAAUACCCUUAGUACCAUCACAACACUAUUAUGUGCAGGAAUCCUUGUUUGCCCCAGCAGUAUUAAGCAAUUUUGGAACCACUGUCACCAAAGGUAAAUAAUCCCAAGAUGGACACCUGCUUCUUUAUUGUGUUCCUGUUGUGCCUCCUCAAGGACUGUAGCACAACGCUCAGCCCUCAAAGCCAAACCAAGGCAAAAAACUGAACUUCAACCUUUGGCUUUUAAGAAGAGGCAUGUGCUAAAAAAAAAAGCUGAGGAAACAGCUCAUGGUAACACUGGUAUCGUGCCUAAGGUGGUCAAUGCACUUUCACACAAGAACUCCUGGUGGAAACCAGCGGCUCUAGCAAGGGAACGUCUCUCUUCAGUACCUACAGCAGCUUUGCAUGGGGACAGGACCUUGUUUCUUCCCAGAAAAUGAUAUUUGGCUGAACAGAAUAACAUUUGGCCAGACCUGAGGGGGAUUUUUAUGAGUUCCAUGUGGGAUGCUGAAGCCUUGGCUUAAUUGGCCUCAAAUCCCCCAGAAAGAUGCACAUCCUGUAUCCACAUCCACUCAGCCUGCUCUCCUUUUCAACCUUAUUGCUGUAACUAUUGAUUUCUCUUGCUUUAGUCCAGUCUGAUGCUUGUGUAAAUCAAGCUGGUUGCUACAGUUUGGUGUGUGUCAGGAAAGUAAAAUUCACAGCCUUUCUUGCUUCCCUCCUACUGCCAAUGAAGUUUUAAUUUUGGAGCUUAGCAUGGAAAUCUGCACUCUACCCAAAGCAAUUUCAUGCCCCACAAAUUCCUCGUCUGUGAAACUUAAUGAACUUUUUAUAACAUCAAUAUCAUGCAUAUCCCGGAUGGCCAGCCCUGUGCAAUUCUGAAACUCACACAUGGCUGAUGGAUCCUGUGAGUAUUUGGGUACCGUGUUGCCUGUGGAGACUCAGACAUCUGGUUUGUUGAGGAGCCAGGCCUGAGUAACUUAGAAGCACAAAUCCCACUGACUCAAAUUAUUUAGUAGCUUUUGC